UACAGAGGUCUCAAGCGUUGUUCGGAUUCAUUGGGCGUAAAGGGUGCGUAGGCGGCGCGGUAAGUCGGGUGUGAAAUCCCCGGGCUCAACCUGGGAAUGGCAUUUGGGACUGCAAGGCUGGAGUUUGGCAGAGGAGACUGGAAUUCCUGGUGUAGCGGUGAAAUGCGCAGAUAUCAGGAGGAACACCGGUGGCGAAGGCGGGUCUCUGGGCCGUAACUGACGCUGGAGGAGCGAAAGCGUGGGGAGCGAACAGG
rnacentral:rRNA from 1 species